GGGGUUUGCAUGGACCGUUGCUAUUUGGGGGGUUAACUGGCAUAAUUUUUUUCGGGGGGUUUGCAUGGACCGAUGCUAUUUGGGGGGUUAACUGGCAUAAUUUGUUUCGGGGGGUUUGCAUGGACCGAUGCUAAUUGGGGGGUGACCUGACAUAAUGUGGUUCGGUGGGUUUGCAUGGACCGAUGCUAUCUGGGGGGUUGCCUGGCGCAAUAUGGUUCGGUGGGUUUGCAUGGACCGAUGCUAAUUGGGGGGUGACCUGACAUAAUGUGGUUCGGUGGGUUUGCAUGGACCGAUGCUAUUUGAAGGGUUAUCUGGCAUAAUUUGUUUCGGGGGGUUUGCCUGGACCUAUACUAAUUGGGGGGUGACCUGACAUAAUGUGGUUCGGUGGGUUUGCAUGGAACGAUGCGAUUUGAGGGGUUACCCGGCGCAAUGUGGUUCGGGGGGUUUGCAUGGACCGAUGCUAUUUGGGGGGUUAUCUGGCAUAAUUUGUUUCGGGGGGUUUGCCUGGACCUAUACUAAUUGGGGGGUGAACUGACAUAAUGUGGUUCGGUGGGUUUGCAUGGAACGAUGCGAUUUGAGGGGUUACCCGGCGCAAUGUGGUUCGGGGGGUUUGCAUGGACCGAUGCUAUUUGGGGGGUUAUCUGGCAUAAUUUGUUUCGGGGGGUUUGCCUGGACCUAUGCUAAUUGGGGGGUGACCUGACAUAAUG
rnacentral:lncRNA from 1 species